UGCCAGCCGCCGCGGUAAUACGGAGGGGGCAAGCGUUAUUCGGAAUUACUGGGCGUAAAGCGCGUGUAGGUGGUUCGACUAGUCGGGUGUGAAAGCCCGGGGCUCAACCCCGGAACUGCAUCCGAAACUGUCGAGCUAGAGUCCUGGAGGGGAAGGCGGAAUUCCCAAUGUAGGGGUGAAAUCCGUAGAUAUUGGGAGGAACACCGGUGGCGAAGGCGGCCUUCUGGACAGUGACUGACACUCAAGUGCGAAAGCGUGGGGAGCAAACAGGAUUAGAUA
rnacentral:rRNA from 1 species